UUCAUUUAUAAAUUGGAGAGAUAAUUAUCUUAGCAAAUUUCUUUAAUUACACAAUUGUAUUUAUCUUCAGUCAUUGAGAGUUAUGUAAGACUUAACUUCAUAUAUUAGAGAAAAAAAGGAGUAUUUACAUCUUAAAUUGUACAAUAUAACUUCUUUUUUUACCCAUGUGAUGUAGUUAUGUUGAUUAAUACAUUUGGUUGUAAUUCCACAUAUUGUAAGUAACAUUACAUUUUUAGUAAGCCAUUUCUUGCUGUGUAAUCAACACUAAUUCACUCUGGCUUCUAACGCUUAUGCCCAUAUUUCCAUGUUUGAAGGGUGACUAUUGCUCUACUAGACUCAUAUAUGAUUGUCUUGACUUAAUGUUAAGCUGCAAAUUACAUGCAAAUCUCCUCCAUAUAUUUCCUAACUCUCUUUAAAUCAUUGGUUACUAUUCAGCUCCUCAAAUCACUGUCUUUUGAUGGCAGAUCCAAAACAGCAAAAAGACAGGCCAACUUCCUGAAUCAUAGGUAUAGCCUUUGCUUAUAUCUCACUUUACUCUCUUUUGACCACCGUAAGCCAGAGAGCAAAUCCCAAAUUUAUGGAGCCAGAAAGGAGUGAAUGUUUGUUGAGAAGUAUCUCAUUUUGUAUCAUACAUAUUAUCUUCGCUGGGUCUGUUUCUUAGUAUUAAUGUGUACAUGCAUGUACACACACAACUAUUAUUACACUUAAAAUUUACAUAAACAGUUAAAUUUUGGAUUGAUACUCAUAAUUAAAAUACUAUUUGUAUACUUAAUGACAACUCUUGGAUUUAGGAUUAGUAUCAAUCAAUAAACCAUCUGGUAACAAAAUUUCCAAAAAAAAAAAAACAAAUCUAAAGUUAUGUCUUUUUUGUCAAAGUUUUUAAAAACAAUUUAAAAAGAGAAAUUAAAAAACUAUAGUGAGAGUCUUCCAGUUACAGCUUUGAUGUGUAGAAAACUUGGAAGUCAUUACUCCUGCCUUUCUUUUUGUUUUGUUUUGUUUUUGACAUGUAGUCUCAUUCAUUUCACUCACUCUGUUGCCCAGGCUAGAGUGUGCUGGCGCCAUCUUGGCUCACUGCAAUCUCUGCCUCCGGAAUUCAAGUGAUUCUCCUGCCUCAGCCUCCUGAGUAGCUGGGAUUGCAUGUGUGCCACCGUGCUUGGCUGAUUUUGUAUUUUUAGUAGAGAUGGGCUUUCACCAUGUUUACCAGGCUGCUCUGUAACUCCUGACCUCAGGUGAUCCACCCGCCUCAGCCUCCCAAAGUGCUGGGAUUACAGGUAUGAGCCACUGCUUCCGGCCCCUAUCAAGAAGAAGAAGAAGAAGGAGGAGGAGUGGGAGGGGAAGGGGGAGGAAGGGAAGGAGGAAAGAAGAGGAAGAGAAAGAAGGGGAAGGGGAAGGAGAGGAGGAGGAAGAGGAGGAAGAAAAGACACUAAAGAGUAGUGAUCAUCUUUAGAUCAAGUAAAGAACUGAGGUCCAAGUUAUCUCUGAUUGCUGAGCUGAGAGAAAGAUAUUUUUUCCACUCCAGCCUCCAUUGGCUUUUCUGUCUCACCUAAGAGGGAAAAGCAUAUAGUUUGCAGGGUCAGGGCUUAAAGGAAAUAUAUUGGGAAUGCUGUAGCCAGGGAACAUAGUAGAUUAUAAAGGUUGAAAAAAGAACAAUACUACUUUAUAAACAUUUGUGAAGGUAACAGCCUGAGACAUAGGCACACAAAAUAUUGAGAUUUAAUUAAAAGAUUAAAGAGAGCUCAUCAUUCUUCACACUUUGUUGUACAACAGCCAAACUCAGUAUAACAGUGUAUUAAAUUUGAAGGAUCUAAACUUCACAGACUAUCUCUGAGCAGGAGUAUGUAGAAAAACCAAAGUCAAGAAUAGAGAAAAAUAUCAAAAAACUGGGAAGAAAUGGAGCCUCUGGCACUUAUAGAUAGAGCAAAAAUUUUUUAAAGCUUAAUUUUUAGUCAUAUUAAUUAAAUACUCACACAUGGUUCUAUCUACCUUAUUUCUCAUUACUUGAUGGAAGGUGUACAACUUUCAACAUCAAAUGAUAAGGCACGCCAAAUUCAAUUGAAAACCCAAUCAUCAGAAUAAAACUAAAAAAUAGCAGAAAUGUUGGAAUUAUCAGACAGCGAAUGUAGAAAUAGCAAUAAUUACUAUGUUAAAGGCUCUAUUUAAAACAUUACAAAAUGCAGUAACAUACAGUCAUUGUAAGCACAGAAAUAGAAUUUUAAGUAACAGCCAAAAUUAAAUUUUAUAAAUUAAAUAUAAAAAGAUUAUAAAUAAAUAAAUUUUCUUAUGAAAUAUUGGGAUGUCUUGACAUGGAUAAAAAAGGAAUUGGUGAGCUUAAAAUAUAGGUCAAGAUAGGUCAGCUUCCCAAAUUAAAGAGCAAAAAGAAAAAGAAUGAAAAAACUAAGUAAAUUUAAAACAAGCAGAAUAUCCAAGAACUGUGAGAAAAUUUGAAAACAUGUUGCAUACAGUUAAUUAAAAAACAAGAAAUGAAUGACAGCAAUAUUAUAAGAGAUAAAAGGGGGGAAUUAGGUAUACAUGGUUAUGUUACUUGUAUUACAUGUGAAGGGCUACGGUGUUAUUUUACAAUGGACUUACAUUACUUUUAAUGGUUAUUAAAAGUUUUAGAGCAAUCAUGGAAACAUAAAAGGAAUUAGUAUGUUAAAAGAAGAAAUCAAAUGAAUCAUAUAAAAUGCUCAAAGAAAAAGAGGAAAGAAUGAAGGAAAAAAUGUACCAAAUAAGAAACAAUUACAGAUAUGGUAAUAUUAAUUCAUAAUCACUUUAAGGGUAAAUUUAUAAAUUCACUAAUUGAAAUACAGAUAUUAUCAAAGUAGAUUAAAAUAUAAAAUAAAACAAAAAAUACAAAUUUUAUUUAAGUAACUCACUAUAAUAUAAAGACUCAUGUAAAUUAAAAGUAAAGAGAUAGAGAAACAUAUAUUAUACAAACAGACACACACAAAAAUCCUGGAAUAGAUAUAUGAACCUCAGACAAAAAAAUUUACAAGAAAGAUUAUUCAUAAUAAAAGGAGCAAUACAUAAUUAUAAAGAUGUUAAUUCUUCAAGAAGUAAUACCAGUACUAUAAAUGUAUCCACCUAACAAAAUAAUAUCAAAAUAUGAGACAAAAAGGUAAUAAGACCGAAAUAAAUGUAAACAAAUACACUAUUUUAGUUCAAAAACUUAUUACCCCUGUAUUACUUACUGACAGAUAAAUAUAGAAGUAAAUCUAUAAGGAUACUAGUGGCCUGAUCAGCACUAUCAAUCAAUUUAAUGCAAUCAAAAUUUAUAGAAUGCUCCAUCCAACAACAACAGCACAUGUAUUCUUCUCAAGUUCACAUGGAACAUAUAAUGAUAGACAACAUUGUGGGCCCUCCCAUACAUUAACACAUUUCAAAAAACAGAAAUAAUAUAAAGUGUAUUUUCAUACUACAAUAAAAAUAAAAAUAUAUAAGGGCUAUACUCAAAUAUUUGGAAAUUUAAUGAUGCACAGUUAAAGUAUAGAAAGAAGAAACAGUGAUGGAAGAAGUUACUGAGGAGAUAUCAAAAAGGUCAAAGGAAAAUGGAAUUAAAAGGAUUGUACUGGGAAAGCCAUGUUUCAUCUCCUGUGGAAAUUCUGCAAAGAAAAAUUUCAGGACCAUGAUCCUAUUUGUUUAAAAUUCCAUUGAAAGCUACAUUCUGGUCUGCAGCCAAUUUGGGCACAAUGGUUUUAGCACCCUUUGAGUGGAAAGUUUGUUCAGCUUUAAUUUUUUCACCAGAAUAG
rnacentral:lncRNA from 10 species